ACUCCUACGGGAGGCAGCAGUAAGGAAUAUUGGACAAUGGGCGCAAGCCUGAUCCAGCCAUCCCGCGUGCAGGAAGACAGCCCUAUGGGUUUUAAACUGCUUUUAGAAGGGAAGAAACGCCUACAUUUAUGUGGGUUUGACGGUACCUUCAGAAUAAGCACCGGCUAACUCCGUGCCAGCAGCCGCGGUAAUACGGAGGGUGCGAGCGUUAUCCGGAAUUACUGGGUUUAAAGGGUGCGUAGGUGGAAGUAUAAGUCAGUGGUGAAAGUUUGCCGCUUAACGGUAAAAUUGCCAUUGAAACUGUAUUUCUUGAGAGUAUUCGAAGUAGGCGGAAUGAGUAAUGUAGCGGUGAAAUGCAUAGAUAUUACUCAGAACACCGAUUGCGUAGGCAGCUUACUAGGAUAUUUCUGACACUGAUGCACGAAAGCGUGGGGAGCGAACAGGAUUAGAUACCCUGGUAGGAUAGCGU
rnacentral:rRNA from 1 species